rnacentral:rRNA from 1 species
AGACCUGGCUGGGCGGUCUGCCUAACGGUAUGUACUGUCCGGCUGGGUCUUACCUCUUGGUGAGCCGGCAUGCCCUUCACUGGGUGUGUCGGGGAACCAGACUUUUACCUUGAAAAAUUAAGUGUUCAAAGCAGGCUUAUGCCCGAAUACAUUAGCAUGGAAUAAUAAAAUAGGACGUGCGGUUCUAUUUUGUUGGUUUCCAGAGUCGCCGUAAUGAUUAAUAGGGAUAGUUGGGGGCAUUAUAUUCCGUUGCUAGAGGUGAAAUUCUUGGAUUUACGGAAGACUAACUAUUGCGAAAGCAUUUGCCAAGGAUGUUUUCAUUACUCAAGAACGAAGGUUAGGGAUCGAAAACGAUCAGAUACCGUUGUAGUCUUCAACAGUAAACUAUGGCCCGACUAGGGAUCGGGCGAACUCAUUUGAUGUGUCGCUCGGCACCUUACGAGAAAUCAAAGUCUUUGGGUUCUGGGGGGAGUAUGAUCGCAAGGCUGAAACUUAAAGGAAUUGACGGAAGGGCACCACCAGGUUGGAGCCUGCGGCGUAAUUUGACUCAACACGGGGAAACUCACCAGGUCCAGACAUGACUAGGAUUGACAGAUUCGAUAGCUCUUUCACGAUUUUAUCGGUUGUUGGUCGCAUGGCCGUUCUUAGAUUGGUGGAGUGAUUCUGCUCUGGCUAAUUGCAGAUAACGAACGAGACGUUAACCUGUAAAUAGCCAGGCCGGCCUUUUGCUGUUGUCGCCGGCUUCUUAGAGGGACUGUCUGCGUCUAGCAGACGGAAGUUUGAGGCAAUAACAGGUCUGUGAUGCCCUUAGAUGUUCUAGGGCCGCACGCGCGUACAUGACAGAGCCAGCGAGUUUUUUUCCCUGGCCAGGAAGGUCUGGGUAAUCUUGUGAAACUCUGUCGUGCUGGGGAUAGAGCAUUGCAUUAUUGCUCUUCAACGAGGA